rnacentral:rRNA from 1 species
GAUGAACGCUGGCGGCGUGCCUAAUACAUGCAAGUCGAGCGAACGGACGAGAAGCUUGCUUCUCUGAUGUUAGCGGCGGACGGGUGAGUAACACGUGGAUAACCUACCCAUAAGACUGGGAUAACUUCGGGAAACCGGAGCUAAUACCGGAUAAUAUUUUGAACCGCAUGGUUCAAAAGUGAAAGACGGUCUUACUGUCACUUAUGGAUGGAUCCGCGCUGCAUUAGCUAGUUGGUAAGGUAACGGCUUACCAAGGCAACGAUGCAUAGCCGACCUGAGAGGGUGAUCGGCCACACUGGAACUGAGACACGGUCCAGACUCCUACGGGAGGCAGCAGUAGGGAAUCUUCCGCAAUGGGCGAAAGCCUGACGGAGCAACGCCGCGUGAGUGAUGAAGGUCUUCGGAUCGUAAAACUCUGUUAUUAGGGAAGAACAUAUGUGUAAGUAACUAUGCACAUCUUGACGGUACCUAAUCAGAAAGCCACGGCUAACUACGUGCCAGCAGCCGCGGUAAUACGUAGGUGGCAAGCGUUAUCCGGAAUUAUUGGGCGUAAAGCGCGCGUAGGCGGUUUUUUAAGUCUGAUGUGAAAGCCCACGGCUCAACCGUGGAGGGUCAUUGGAAACUGGAAAACUUGAGUGCAGAAGAGGAAAGUGGAAUUCCAUGUGUAGCGGUGAAAUGCGCAGAGAUAUGGAGGAACACCAGUGGCGAAGGCGACUUUCUGGUCUGUAACUGACGCUGAUGUGCGAAAGCGUGGGGAUCAAACAGG